rnacentral:rRNA from 1 species
CACGUAGGGUGCGAGCGUUGUCCGGAAUUAUUGGGCGUAAAGAGCUCGUAGGCGGUGUGUCGCGUCGGCCGUGAAAACUUUCAGCUUAACUGGGAGCUUGCGGUCGAUACGGGCAUCACUUGAGUUCGGCAGGGGAGACUGGAAUUCCUGGUGUAGCGGUGAAAUGCGCAGAUAUCAGGAGGAACACCGGUGGCGAAGGCGGUUCUCUGGGCAUUACCUGACGCUGAGGAGCGAAAGUGUGGGGAGCGAACAGG